rnacentral:rRNA from 1 species
CAGUAGCCGCGGGAAUACAGAGGAUGCAAGCGUUAUCCGGAAUGAUUGGGCGUAAAGCGUGCGCAGGCGGUUAUGUGAGACGGGUGUGAAAUCCCCGGGCUUAACCUGGGAACUGCGCUUGUGACUGCACAGCUAGAGUAUGGCAGAGGGGGGUGGAAUUCCACGUGUAGCGGUGAAAUGCGUAGAGAUGUGGAGGAACACCGAUGGCGAAGGCAGCCCCCUGGGCCAAUACUGAUGCUCAUGCACGAAAGCGUGGGGAGCAAACAGGAUUAGAUACCCCCGUAGUCCCUGUCUCUUAUAC